rfam:Ruminococcus sp. CAG:724 genomic scaffold, scf302
UGAUGUGCGAUGAAGCGAGAGGUUGCCGCAAUUUGCGGGUAAUUUUCGCAGAGUAUGUCCGAACAAAAACGGGCGA